rnacentral:rRNA from 1 species
UACGUAGGGUGCGAGCGUUGUCCGGAAUUAUUGGGCGUAAAGGGCUCGUAGGCGGUUUGUCGCGUCGGGAGUGAAAACACCGGGCUUAACUCGGUGCUUGCUUUCGAUACGGGCAGACUAGAGGUAUUCAGGGGAGAACGGAAUUCCUGGUGUAGCGGUGAAAUGCGCAGAUAUCGAGGAGGAACGAGCCGGUGGCGAAGGCGGUUCUCUGGGAAUAUCCUGACGC